rnacentral:rRNA from 1 species
CAGCAUCCUUGACUUACGUCGCAGUCCUCAGUCCCAGCUGGCAGUAUUCCCACAGGCUAUAAUACUUACCGAGGCAAGCUACAUUCCUAUGGAUUUAUCCUGCCACCAAAACUGAUGCUGGCCCAGUGAAAUGCGAGAUUCCCCUACCCACAAGGAGCAGAGGGCACAAAACACCAUGUCUGAUCAAAUGCCCUUCCCUUUCAACAAUUUCACGUACUUUUUCACUCUCUUUUCAAAGUUCUUUUCAUCUUUCCAUCACUGUACUUGUUCGCUAUCGGUCUCUCGCCAAUAUUUAGCUUUAGAUGGAAUUUACCACCCACUUAGAGCUGCAUUCCCAAACAACUCGACUCUUCGAAGGCACUUUACAAAGAACCGCACUCCUCGCCACACGGGAUUCUCACCCUCUAUGACGUCCUGUUCCAAGGAACAUAGACAAGGAACGGCCCCAAAGUUGCCCUCUCCAAAUUACAACUCGGGCACCGAAGGUACCAGAUUUCAAAUUUGAGCUUUUGCCGCUUCACUCGCCGU